GGAAGCGAGCCUGAACGGAAAAGGGGCCAUACCAAGACUGGCUGGGCAUUGCCCAUGCAGGUUCGAAUCCUGCCGCUUCCG
rnacentral:tRNA from 1 species